AUUGAACGCUGGCGGCAUGCCUUACACAUGCAAGUCGAACGGCAGCGCGGACUUCGGUCUGGCGGCGAGUGGCGAACGGGUGAGUAAUACAUCGGAACGUACCCUGUUGUGGGGGAUAACUAGUCGAAAGAUUAGCUAAUACCGCAUACGACCUGAGGGUGAAAGUGGGGGACCGCAAGGCCUCACGCAGCAGGAGCGGCCGAUGUCUGAUUAGCUAGUUGGUGGGGUAAAGGCCCACCAAGGCGACGAUCAGUAGCUGGUCUGAGAGGACGAUCAGCCACACUGGGACUGAGACACGGCCCAGACUCCUACGGGAGGCAGCAGUGGGGAAUUUUGGACAAUGGGGGCAACCCUGAUCCAGCAAUGCCGCGUGUGUGAAGAAGGCCUUCGGGUUGUAAAGCACUUUUGUCCGGAAAGAAAUCGCGCUGGUUAAUACCUGGCGUGGAUGACGGUACCGGAAGAAUAAGCACCGGCUAACUACGUGCCAGCAGCCGCCGUAA
rnacentral:rRNA from 1 species